GCGGGUGUCGUAUAAUGGCUAUUACCUCAGCCUUCCAAGCUGAUGAUACGGGUUCGAUUCCCGUCACCCGCUCCA
rnacentral:tRNA from 5 species